rnacentral:rRNA from 1 species
UACGUAGGAUGCAAGCGUUGUCCGGAAUUAUUGGGCGUAAAGAGCUCGUAGGCGGCCUGUUGCGUCCGCUGUGAAAUCCCGGGGCUCAACCCCGGGCCUGCAGUGGAUACGGGCUGGCUAGAGGCAGGCAGGGGAGAACGGAAUUCCUGGUGUAGCGGUGAAAUGCGCAGAUAUCAGGAGGAACACCGGUGGCGAAGGCGGUUCUCUGGGCCUGUACUGACGCUGAGGAGCGAAAGCGUGGGGAGCGAACAGG